UUAUAAGCAUAGAACAAGUGAAAUUUUGUCGAGAGCACUGAUCAAAAUGAUGGAUCAUCGCGAGACGUAUUAUUUAUCGCGAGUGUUUGUGAUUAACUGUGCCACAGGCAUGUUUGAAUGAGUGUACGAUUUAUUUUCCAUUAAAUGUAGCAUUUGUUCCUUAAAAAACAUAGUGUUGUUGCAUUUACAUAUAUGAUGAUCUCCGCGUUACCGCUAAAACAUUCAUUCGCCUGGCAUGUUCCGAGUGUGGAUGUCCCCAUGUGGAUGUUACAACGUAAUGUAUGUGUGUAGAUAAAAUUGUAUGCAUGUCAUGUUUUAGCAGUGAAAUUUUCGUCGUAGCAAAUUUGCCAUGUAAAUCCGUUACAAAGUAAAAUGCGCGAGUUGAUUUCUAUUCAACAGGGUGUGUAAUUAAUUAAAUCCAGCUUUUUAAUAUUCAUCAAUUCUUUGAAGGAGACAAUACGGUUAGCGGUACAUUUUAAGAUGGAAUUUGUAGCCGGUGAAACAAACUGCAAUAUCCUAGCUUAUACAGCUGAAGGUGUAUUUAGCUAAGAUACAACGACUGGAGCACAAUGGUACAAGAUAAAGAUGUGGAUAUAGCAACAUUAAAAUAUAAAAAAUUUUGUCAAUUUUUAAGAAAAAAAAUAGAAAUGUUAAUUGUAAGAAAAUCUAUUUACACUUGCUACACAACCAUUGCACCUUUUCAAAAUUUAACUUUAGAGGGAAAUAACUCCUCUUUCUUGCCAAAGGAGUUAAGUGUUUUACCUCAUCUUCAGUAUAUUGAGUUAUUACACAAUUACCUAAGAUCCACUCGAUAUACAUGGGAAUGGCUGAAGCUAUCUCCCAUUAGAAACAAUUUAUUAUGCUUAAACAUAAAUUACAAUUUUUUGACUAAAUUACCAUUGCAAAUUAUUCGUUUGAAAAAUAUAACAAAAUUUAAGCUUAAGCAAUAACGAAAUUAUUUGCUUAUCAAUAGAGUUUGGUACUUUGCCUCCAAUGAUGCUUGAUCUAUCUCAUAAUUAUCUUGGAAAGUUUGCUGAACUUAGUUGGAUGUGGUUAGAGCAAACUCGCAUAAGAAAUACUUUAUUAAGUUUAAAUAUAUGUCACAAUUUUUUAACUGAAUUACCAUUACAAAUUGGAAAGCUAAAUAUUUUAUCAAGUUUGUUAUGUGACCAAAAUAUGCUAAAACACUUACCACAAAAUUU